rnacentral:lncRNA from 1 species
GUGGUGGCAGAGGAUGAAGCGGUAGAGGAUUGCAAGGUGAGCAGUCUAGGUCCAAGUCGAGGGACUUCAGCAAAAUCAGAUGCUAUCGAUGUGAUGAGUUGGGACAUCAAGUCAGAGAUUGCCCAUAGCUUAGAGAUUGGACGAAGGCUACUAUGGUGGCAGUCCAAGAUAGCGAUACAGAAAAAAGUGAUGAUGUUCUUUUGGUGUCUAAUGAUGUAUCUACUUCUUUCUCAUAGUAGAUUUUAGAUUCUACAUGUUCGCAUCAUAUUUGUUGUA